CCCGCUAUCUAUGCAGCACUAGNCGCAUGGNCGCGGGAUUCAGCAGCCGCGGUAAUUCGAAUGGGGCGAGCGUUGUUCGGAAUCACUGGGCGUAAAGCGUGCGUAGGCGGAUAUGAAAGUCAGAAGUGAAAGCCCGGGGCUCAGCCCCGGAAUUGCUUUUGAAACUUCAUAUCUAGAGUCCCGGAGGGGCCAGCGGAAUUCCGAGUGUAGAGGUGAAAUUCGCAGAUAUUCGGAAGAACACCAGUGGCGUAGGCGGCUGGCUGGACGGGAACUGACGCUGAGGCACGAAAGCAUGGGUAGCAAACAGGAUUAGAUACCCUGGUAGUCCAUGCCGUAAACGAUGUGUGCUAGUUGUCGGCCUCUUAGAGGUCGGUGACGCCGCAAACGCAUUAAGCACACCGCCUGGGGAGUACGGUCGCAAGAUUAAAACUCAAAGGAAUUGACGGGGACCCGCACAAGCGGUGGAGCAUGUUGUUUAAUUCGAAGCAACGCGAAGAACCUUACCUACACUUGACAUCCUGAUCGCGCUUACCAGAGAUGGUUCGCUUCAGUUCGGCUGGAUCAGUGACAGGUGCUGCAUGGCUGUUGUCAGCUCGUGUCGUGAGAUGUUUGGUUAAGUCCAGCAACGAGCGCAACCCCUAUCGUCUGUUGCCAUCAUUAAGUUGGGCACUCUGACGAGACCGCCGGUGAUAAACCGGAGGAAGGCGGGGACGACGUCAAGUCAUCAUGGCCCUUACGUGUAGGGCUACAAACGUGCUACAAUGGUUACUACAAUAAGCAGCUUAGUGGCGACACUCGGCAAAUCUAAAAAGUAAUCUCAGUUCGGAUUGUUCUCUNGCACUCGAGAGCA
rnacentral:rRNA from 1 species